rnacentral:tRNA from 1 species
GGUUCGGUAGCUCAACUGGAUAGAGCAUCUGCCUUCUAAGCAGACGGUUUCGGGUUCGAGUCCCGACCGAAUCA